GUGGGGAAUAUUGGACAAUGGGCGAAAGCCUGAUCCAGCCAUGCCGCGUGAUAGAUGAAGGCCCUCUGGGUUGUAAAUAUCUUUUAUCUGGGAAGAAACUCCUCUAUUCUUAGAGGCCUGACGGUACCAGAGGAAUAAGCACCGGCUAACUCCGUGCCAGCAGCCGCGGUAAUACGGAGGGUGCAAGCGUUAUCCGGAUUCACUGGGUUUAAAGGGUGCGUAGGCGGGUUGAUAAGUCAGUGGUGAAAGCUCCGGGCUUAACUUGGAAACUGCCAUUGAUACUGUCAGUCUUGAAUGUCGUAGAGGUAAGCGGAAUGUUGCAUGUAGCGGUGAAAUGCUUAGAUAUGUUACAGAACACCAAUUGCGAAGGCAGCUUACUAUGCGAUAAUUGACGCUGAGGCACGAAAGCGUGGGGAGCAAACAGGAUUAGAAACCCGAGUAGUCC
rnacentral:rRNA from 1 species